CUAAAGAGCUGAGGAGGAAAACUGCUGGGAAUGCUCACAGAUACCUGAUUUUACAAGUUUUUGUGGAAAGAGCUCGCCUUUAGAUUAGUGUUACUCAGUGUUUAUGAGGGUUGUUUGUCAAGGCAAAAAUAAGGUACCUCCUCCCCACAAAUUAAAGAAUCAAGUUACAAUCCAUUAUUUCAUUUCUGAUUGUUUUUCUUUGUAUUAAGUGGGAAAGUGGAUACUGGAUAAAAGUUCCCCGAGCUAAAAGACUCCACAUUAAAGGCUCCAAUUAGCUAUAAAUCAGUUGUCUUUCCUACUGGGGGAGAACAAGAGAGAAAAGAGAGAGGGGGUAGUUAGGGAGUAAGAGAACUGGAAGAGCUUCCAAAUUAAAUUCUGAAAAACGUACCUAUUGCAUACCUAAAAUUUCUUUCAGAGGCUGUUAGAAAAAUCCCAUCAAAAAUAAGACUAAAAUCAAACCUUCCCAAAUCUGAGGGUUAGGUCUUUUCUCCUGUGUAGAUCUUCCAUUUUAAGACCUUUAAAAAGAGCCUGAAGAGGUUAGAGACCCUCAUAAAAUAAAACUUCUAAGCUGCAUGCUUUCCCUGCUCGUUCCUAAACCCAGACAAGUGCCACACAUUGGCACUAUUGUUAUGCAAACAAUGCCUAAAAGGUUAUAACCAUUAACGACCUCUCAUUAAAACGGCUUUGAAAAAUUUGUCACACCAUCUAAAAAAGCUAGCAGGUACAUUAAAUCCAUCUAAAUCGACAUUCAAAACACAAAUCGCCCUGAUUUGUAACCUAAAACUCAAUGCAAGUAAAAUCUCAAUAUUCUGAUGUUGUUUCUUGUAUAUCUCAUUCAACCACUAAGCCAGAUGCAAACAAUUUACUUCUCUACAAAAUUUAUCUUGUAAAAAAGCACGAUGGAAUACAUCUUUAAUCAACCUUUAACCAUAUGCAUGUGCGUCUAUGCGUUUGCGUUAAUUGGGAGAAGUUGAGUGUAGAAAUGUACCGAAAGGACUAGAAAAUCAAACCAGAGAACUACAAAAUGAACUCCAAGAAACGUGGUUUUCAAUCCCAUCUCUCUCUCACCACCUCCCUCAAAAUGUUGUAACAUUACAAUACCCCUACGUUUGUAAUCGAUCAUUUUUUUUCUAUGUCGAAUUUGUGGAAAGUAAAUUCAUUUUAUAUUAGGUAGCAGACGCAUAUUCUUUUUUAGGCGAUGCAACAACAAAAAUCCUGCUUAGCAAACCCAAGAUGUCAACGUUCGUUAUAAAAAAAAAAAAGUAAGUUCUUCAGUUCAAAACCGAACAUGCUAACAAAUAUUAAAACUUUUUAAGUUUCCCAGGGAAACUGCCGCUGCCUACAAAAUUCACAUGAAACGCUGACGUUGGAGUUACUGUACUUAUCAGUCAGGUUUCCGUGAAAUUUGUCAAACCGGCCAGAGCGCUGGUGUCUUGACAAUUCCUUACGGGAAAGCCCCUCAGCACCCUCCGGGCUGUGGAGGACCUGAUUGGGACCAACAGCCGAGGGGCCCGGAAGGCGGAGGACCGAGAGGCGACGGCCAGGCUGCGUGGCCAAGCUGACGGGGAACCCCGGCCUCCAUCUGAGGAUACUAAGCGGUUCCGACGCCUUCCCCCGCGGCAGUCGGGACCGGGAGAAUCGGACAGAAACCAGCCUCAGAGUCCGGGGCAGGAGCCGUUGACGGCUGCCCCUCAACGCUGCGCUUCGGGUUGGGUUAAGUCCCCAAGGCGUCCUCAGACCACGGCGGGGCUUCAAACGCCCCAGUCCCGAAGACAGGCAGGGGGUCCCUCUGCUGCGCCGGGAUGACAGGCUGGCCCCGACGACCCCGGCCCCGUCCCGCAGCCCUCACCCGCUGAAGAGAUCGGGGAAACCGAAGAAGGUUCUAGAAAGUCUCCGUGGACGACGGGCGCUGGGCGGCCGCUUACCUUGGUGUACUUAAUUUCGAGAUUGGGCGUGGGCGACGGCAGGAGGUGCAGCGACGCCAUGAGGGCGGCGGGGUCGGCCUUCACCUCGCCGGGCAUCUCUAUCUUGCUGGAAGUCAUGGUGGCGGGCCGGGUGUCCCUAGCCCGCGGCGUGGGGCAGUGCGGGCUGUGCGCGCGGUCCGCGGCCCGGGGGCGCGCUCGCCUGUAUAUAGGUGUAAACCAAGAACCUAGAGACCCUGCCUCAGAAUGGGCUUUGGACUCCGUGGACUAAAUCAAGGCCGCAUGGAAAGACCUGCAUAAGUCCCUUCCCUUCCUUACUCCUCACUCCAAAUGUAAGCUUGACAGGGGCCUACAGUGUUGAUAAACGCUUUUUCUACACUACCAAGCAACACUGUGAUUCUCGUCUUUUUGUUUUGUUUGAAGAGACAGGGUCUCACUCCUUCACUCAGGCUGGAAUGC
rnacentral:lncRNA from 1 species